GGGACCUCAGGCUUUUUCUCUGAAGACCUUCAACUGAUUGGAUAAGGCUUACCCAUGGCACAGAAGGAUGGAGUGUCUGCUGUGCUGGAGAAGAAGAGAGUGAAACGGAAGUGGAGUGUGUGUCAUCUCCUUUGUCCUCAGUUAUUGUCCCAGGCUGUGAGCAAUGCUGCACGGCCCCCAGCAACUGCAUUCACCAUACUUUUUUCCUGCGCUUCCUAAAGACACUCCGACGGAGCACUUCCAGAACUGAUUCAGAGAAUGGCGGGAACAGUGUGCUCGGAGC